ACUCCGCACCGGCCAAUGGCACCGCCCCGUCCGCCCCGCUCUGGGAACGCCGCUCCAGCAGAUGUGACAUAGACUGGAAGUGAUGGACCCAGACAACAAUCAGAACCAAAGCACCAGAUGAGCCACCUCAGCCACGUGAGCCAUGCCAGCCACCCUACCUGUGACCCCAUCUGUGGCCCCAGUUAUCAUGGAGUAGAGCCCUUUCUCUGUCUACAAAACCAACUUCCUCGCCCAGCUCAUGGGAACACUUAUUCUGUUGUAUAGAAUGAAGUGUUGCUUGAUUCUAGAAUCAAAGAAAGAGCAAGAGCAGGCAGGAGGGCAAGACGACAGCAAGAGAACAAGAAAGAAACCUGAAGAAAAGAAGUUUUAGUGAAGAUGGAAAGGCUUAAAACAUACCAUGGAGAAUGACCUCAGCCUUCUGUGUGGAGGAUUUGCACUUGGAGAUAAGGAAAGAGAGGGACUUCAGAGAGUUAAGCAGUUCAGUUUCCUUUGCAUUUCUUACAUCUGAGCAGGUGACCGGAGUGAACACUCUGGAAGCCACAGUGGAGUCCUCUGCUUGGGGCCUCUUUCUGGAAACCAGAUCAAUUCACUGAAAAACAAUUUGCAAAUGACUAGUUCAUUGAGAAGCAAGUGACCAAAACUCUAAGUCACCGAAUGACCUGCUCAUUGAUUUAUUGAAGAUUUUAUUCCAAGGUCUACUUCCCUCUGCAUUUGUGGCUGCCAUUUCAUAUGUGAAUGGGUGGGCAGUUUGCUGUCAUGCCCUUUUUGUGCAUCUCUAUCCUGACCCUGUAUGUGGUGCUGCCUUUUCCCAGGCCCCCUGCCCCUGCCCUGGCCUCUGUCUGCAAAGCAGUUGCAGCAACCUCCCUCUUGCUGUUGAAGAUACUCAUCUGAUGUCUAUUGUGAAUUGGCUGGAGCCCUUCUACAGGUUUGUUAGCGUCCCUCUGCAUCCAGGCUGAUGGUGCCUGCCAUGCUUCUACAUGCUGUUCUCUGCCACCCACCUGAGCCCAGCUAGAGUCAGUGGGGAAGUGGAGGAGCCACAUCAAAACAGUGUGUCCACCUCAGUCACCCUCCAGUGUGCAUUGACGACCAGGCAGCCAUUAGACCCAAAUGCAGCCCCACAGCAUAGAGGCAAAUGGAAAGGCCACAUAUCCUCUUUUCAUUCUCCUUCCAUGUGAGGCCCUGCAGAGCCUGGCAUCUGUCUUCAUCAUCGUGGCAUCCUCAGACUCUUUCUUCUUCCUGGAGCGAGCUGUGCUCUCUGAAGCCACUGCCUGUGUGGGAAGUACCCCAGCAUUUCUUCGCUGUUGCCAGGCAUCCCUUCCUGUCCUACCACUUCAAAUGCAUCUUUUCAUGUGUCCUUCCUGAGCACCUCUAGCAGCUGCAUGUUCCUGUUUCAGCCUCUGCCUUUCCACAGCUCCUCCAAGAUUCCUCUAUUGCAGAGCACAGCACCACCUUGCAGGAAACCUCCCAGAGGACUGUGAGGACCAUGAAGCAAGGGGCUGCAUCUUAUUCUCCUUGGUGUCUGGCCCAGCAGUGGGCCCAGGCCAGAUGCCAUUAAGAACAUUCAUGAUUCAUGAGAGGAGAUCAAAAUAUCAACAUAAACAGGAGUUUGAAAGAAGUUGAUUUCAACCCUUGUGGAUGACUAUGAGAGAUUCAAGGCUUCAGUGGAGAAUGCACCUACAGAUAUGGUGGAAACAGCAAAAGAAAUAGAAUCAGAAGUGGAGCCUGAAGAUUAAACUGAAUUGCUGCAAUCUCAUGAUAAAACUUGAACAGAUGAGGAGUUGCUUCUUACAGCAACCACUGCCCUGAUUAAUCAACAGCCGUCAACAUGUCAACAUCAAGCCUAGA
rnacentral:lncRNA from 1 species